CCUACGGGAGGCAGCAGUGAGGAAUAUUGGUCAAUGGACGAGAGUCUGAACCAGCCAAGUAGCGUGAAGGAUGACUGCCCUAUGGGUUGUAAACUUCUUUUAUAUGGGAAUAAAAUGUUCCACGUGUGGGAUUUUGUAUGUACCAUAUGAAUAAGGAUCGGCUAACUCCGUGCCAGCAGCCGCGGUAAUACGGAAGAUCCGAGCGUUAUCCGGAUUUAUUGGGUUAAAAGGGAGCGUAGGUGGAUUGUUAAGUCAGUUGUGAAAGUUUGCGGCUCAACCGUAAAAUUGCAGUUGAAACUGGCAGUCUUGAGUACAGUAGAGGUGGGCGGAAUUCGGGGUGUAGCGGUGAAAUGCUUAGAUAUCACGAAGAACUCCGAUUGCGAAGGCAGUUCACUGGACUGCAACUGACACUGAGGCUCGAAAGUGUGGGUAUCAAACAGGAUUAGAUACCCCAGUAGUC
rnacentral:rRNA from 1 species